CAGUAGCCGCGGGAAUACGAAGGGGGCUAGCGUUGUUCGGAAUUACUGGGCGUAAAGCGUACGUAGGCGGCUUUGUAAGUUAGAGGUGAAAGCCUGGUGCUCAACACCAGAACUGCCUUUAAGACUGCAUCGCUUGAACGUCGGAGAGGUGAGUGGAAUUCCGAGUGUAGAGGUGAAAUUCGUAGAUAUUGGGAAGAACACCAGUGGCGAAGGCGGCUCACUGGACCGACACUGACGCUGAGGCGCGAAAGCGUGGGGAGCAAACAGGAUUAGAUACCCCUGUAGUCCCUGUCUCUUAUAU
rnacentral:rRNA from 1 species